rnacentral:rRNA from 1 species
CCCGACCCUCGACGCCCCGACCCCGCCCGGUCACAUUCCGAACCCGGAAGCUAAGACUCUCAGCGCCGAUGGUACUGCAAGGGGGACCUUGUGGGAGAGUAGGACACCGCCGGACU